GCAACCGAUACCUCCGCGCCCGUCCACACGAUCGCGAUCCGACGGGGCCGCCGCCUCCGCGGCCGCCUGCUCUCCACAGCGACGUCGACUCGUCGAUGCGGGGGCGGAGACCUAGAAAUGCCGCCCUCCGCCCCCUCUUCCUCCCCAAAUCCGGCAUUGGCGAGCUUCCGCAAUCCCCGAAAAGUUGUGACAGGUCGCAAUGGCCGUCCCAAGAAGGUCUUUGGAUGGCAGGUUGUUCUGGGUGCUGGGCCUUGUUUGUGCCAUGUAUCAGAUAUUUUUUGUUCGGUCAGCAGCGGGUCAAACAGCACAGUUGAGUGUGAAUGCUUCACCUCAGAAUACUCAGAUGAUUCCUGAGAAUAUGUUUGGCAUCUUUUUCGAGGAGAUUAACCAUGCUGGGGCUGGUGGGUUGUGGGCCGAACUUGUAAAUAAUAGAGGUUUUGAAGCUGGUGGUCCUAAUACGCCUUCAAACAUUGACCCAUGGUUGAUAAUUGGAGAUGAAUCGAACAUUAUUGUUGCAACCGACCGCUCAUCCUGUUUUGCAACUAAUCCAAUCGCACUUCGGAUGGAAGUACUUUGUGAAUCUAGUGGAAAUGAUGUCUGCCCACCAGGAGGUGUCGGUAUUUAUAAUCCUGGUUUCUGGGGCAUGAAUAUUGAGGAAGCGAAGGUUUAUAAAGUCAGCAUGUACAUCAUGUCAUCAGACUCCAUGGAUCUAACAGUUUCCUUGACAAGUUCAGAUGGUCUUCAGAAUCUAGCUGCUUAUACCAUCACUGCUGAUAAGGAAGAUUUUAAAGAGUGGACGAAGGUUGAGUUUGAUCUGCAAUCAAGUGAAAGAAAUCCUAACUCAAGGCUUCAGCUUACAACCAGAACAAGUGGCAUUGUUUGGUUUGAUCAAGUAUCACUUAUGCCAUCUGAGACUUACAUGCGGCAUGGUUAUCGUAAAGAUCUUGCGUCUAUGCUGGCAAAUCUAAAGCCUAAAAUUUUGAAAUUCCCAGGUGGAAACUAUGUCAUGGGAAACUAUCUGUCAAAUGCAUUUCGCUGGAGUGAAACUGUUGGACCCUGGGAGGAGAGACCUGGUCAUUUUAAUGAUGUUUGGGGCUACUGGACUGAUGAUGGACUUGGAUUCUUUGAGUUCCUUCAAUUAGCAGAAGACCUUGGUGCUUGCCCAGUUUGGGUGGUCAAUGAUGGGGCUAGCCGAAAUGAACAAGUGCCAUCUGCCACAAUAGCUGCUUUUGUAAAGGAUGUUGUUGACGGUAUUGAGUUUGCGAGGGGAGACCCUGGGACUUCAUGGGGUUCAGUUCGUGCAGCAAUGGGACACCCAGAGCCCUUUCAGCUUAAUUAUAUUUCUAUGGGAAAUCAGGAAUGCUCAAUGCACUACUAUAAAGAGAAUUACCGCAAGUUCUAUUCUGCAAUAAAAGCAUCCUACCCAGAUAUCAAAAUCAUAUCCAGCUGUGAUAGAUCUACCAUUUCACCGGUCGAACCUGCUGAUCUGUAUGAUGUUCAUGUCUAUACCUCAUCUGGUGAUAUGUUUUCCAAAUCUAGCAUGUUUGACAGCACACCCCGAGGUGGACCGAAGGCAAUUGUUAGUGAAUAUGCCGUGACCGGAAAUGAUGCUGGCCGAGGAACACUAGUAGCUGCUUUAGCUGAAGCUGCAUUUCUUAUUGGAUUAGAAAGAAACAGCGAUGCUGUUGAAAUGGCAAGUUGUGCUCCACUCUUCGUAAAUGACAAUGAUCGCAGGUGGAGUCCAGAUGCCAUAGUCUUCAACUCAUGGCAGCACUAUGGAUGUCCAAACUACUGGAUGUUACACUUCUUCAAGGAGUCAAGCGGCGCGUCACUUCAUCCAUCUACCAUUCAAGUAUCGAACUAUAACCAACUGGUCGCAUCGGCUAUCACGUGGCAGAAUUCUAAAGAUGGAAAUACCUACCUAAAAAUAAAGGUUCUCAAUUUCGGCAACAAGGCUAUAGAUCUUAGUAUCUCUAUAACUGGGCUGGAGAAUGAGAUUCAGACAUUUGGAUCCGUAAAGACGGUACUUACAUCUGGUUCUCUACGGGAUGAGAACUCCUUCCAGCAACCAGACAAGGUGGUGCCGGUGGAAAGCCCGAUAAGCAAUGCGAGGGAGGAGAUGAGCCUUGUACUGGAUCCGUACUCCCUCACCUCGUUUGAUCUCCUCUUGGACCUGAAGUCAAGCUUGCAGAUGAUGCAUUCAGUCCCGGAGUCAAGCUUGCAUUCAAGUAUGUGAAUACAGAAAGGAAUGUGAUAGACGAGAGAGCCGUCUCUCAAUGCAAAACAUGAAUUUGGAUUAAACAUAAACUUAAUAUGGCCGUGUGUGGAUGUAUACAUUAACACGCAGGUUAAAGGGCAAGUGAUUAUGAUUGUCGAUAUGGUUCAGACUAAAGCUUAAGAACAUAUCCUCCGUCGUAGUCUAGGUGGUUAGGAUACUCGGCUCUCACCCGAGAGACCCGGGUUCAAGUCCCGGCGACAGAAUUUUUUUUGGAGGCGGCUUCAUACCGUUUUUGGCAAGAUUUCCUAUAUUUUUGAAAGGAACUGCGUCCUUGAAACGACAGUAUUGACAAACAUGUCGAAAAUAUUCUCAAUCAUUGACGCGCACCACUACGGCAGAGGUUUCCUCUUUCCUUGGCAGUCGUGCUCGUGGCCAUCCUAAUAAGGGAAUCUAUUCUUAACCCGCUCCCAAUUUUAAAAUUACAAAUUUCUCGCUCGCUUCCUUCCUAAUCCCGGCAGGAGGAGAAUCCUUCCCUCGCGGCCACCAAAGCACCGGCAGGCAGGCAGGCAGCCACCGCCUCUGCCCCGCUCCCCCCAACGCCCGCCCAUGGCUCCGGCUCCGGCGUCCAGCGGCCGCAUCCGGCCGUGGCUGGUGGUUGGCGACCUGGUCCUGGCGGUGCUGUGGGUGUGCGCGGGCGCGCUGGUGAAGCUGGCCGUGUACAACGUGCUCGGACUUGGGGGCCGCCCGGAGGGGGAAGCCGCCAAGGUCUCGCUCUCUGUCGUCUACAUGUUCCUCUUCGCCUGGCUUGAAUCCGCCACCGGCGGCGCCUCCUACAACCCGCUCACUGCCAUCUCCGGCGCCCUGGCCUCCCGCGGUGGCAUCGCCCUCUACCUCUUCACCGUCUUCGUACGGGUCCCUGCGCAGGUGAUUGGGGCGGUUAUUGGAGUGAUGCUCAUGCGAUUUGCAUUCCCUAAAGUAGGUAAAGGAGCUGCGUUAAGCGUCGGUGUUCAUCAUGGGGCUUUAACUGAAGGACUGGCAACCUUAAUGGUUGUUAUGGUGUCAUUGACACUUAAAAAGAAAGAACAGGGGUUCUUUGUGAAGACAUGGAUUGCCAGCAUUUGGAAAAUGACGAUUCAUAUCCUUAGCUCAGAUAUGACUGGAGGAAUUAUGAACCCUGCAUCUGCCUUUGCUUGGGCCUAUGCUCGUGGAGAUCACACAUCAUUUGACCACCUACUGGUAUAUUGGCUCGCACCCCUCCAAGCAACCCUUGUAGGAGUAUGGGUGGUUACCUUCUUAACUAAACCCAAGAAGACCAAGGAGCAAGAAGCAGAUAAAAACAAGAACAAAAAGGAAUAGACUUCAGGAAGCGAGCCAUCGCCUGGUUGGGGAGUGGAUGUACAUACAGUACCAGCGCCUGGGUUGAAGUCCUCAUGGACUUGAAUUUAGGUUCUAUUUGGCUUUCCUUCAAGUAUUCCUUCAAAGAAAGAAGAAGGAACAUUGUUAUUGUGGGAGUGGUGUCCACCAUUUUUUCUGGAGCAAGAACUCCAGAUCAUAUUAUCAUUAAUUAUUCUAAAAUGUUCAUCUGUCAGCAUGUUGAAGC
rnacentral:tRNA from 1 species